rnacentral:rRNA from 1 species
AGAGUUUGAUCCUGGCUCAGAUUGAACGCUGGCGGCAUGCCUUACACAUGCAAGUCGAACGGCAGCAUGAUCUAGCUUGCUAGAUUGAUGGCGAGUGCGAACGGGUGAGUAAUACAUCGGAACGUGCCCUGUAGUGGGGGAUAACUAGUCGAAAGAUUAGCUAAUACCGCAUACGACCUGAGGGUGAAAGUGGGGGACCGCAAGGCCUCAUGCUAUAGGAGCGGCCGAUGUCUGAUUAGCUAGUUGGUGNGGUAAAGGCCCACCAAGGCGACGAUCAGUAGCUGGUCUGAGAGGACGAUCAGCCACACUGGGACUGAGACACGGCCCAGACUCCUACGGGAGGCAGCAGUGGGGAAUUUUGGACAAUGGGCGAAAGCCUGAUCCAGCAAUGCCGCGUGUGUGAAGAAGGCCUUCGGGUUGUAAAGCACUUUUGUCCGGAAAGAAAUGGCUCUGGUUAAUACCUGGGGUCGAUGACGGUACCGGAAGAAUAAGGACCGGCUAACUACGUGCCAGCAGCCGCGGUAAUACGUAGGGUCCAAGCGUUAAUCGGAAUUACUGGGCGUAAAGCGUGCGCAGGCGGUUGUGCAAGACCGAUGUGAAAUCCCCGAGCUUAACUUGNGAAUUGCAUUGGUGACUGCACGGCUNGAGUGUGUCAGAGGGGGGUAGAAUUCCACGUGUAGCAGUNAAAUGCGUAGAGAUGUGGAGGAAUACCNAUGGCUAAGGCNGNCCCCUGGGAUAACACUGACGCUCAUGCACGAAAGCGUNGGGAGCAAACAGGAUUAGAUACCCUGGUNGUCCACGCCCUAAACGAUGUCAACUAGUUGUUGGGGAUCAUUUCCUUAGUAACGUAGCUAACGCGUGAAGUUGACCGCCUNGGGAGUCUGUCGCAAGAUUAAAACUCACAGGAAUUGACGGGGGACCGCGCAACCCUUGUCUCUAGUUGCUACGAAAGGGCACUCUAGAGAGACUGCCGGUGACAAACCGGAGGAAGGUGGGGAUGACGUCAAGUCCUCAUGGCCCUUAUGGGUAGGGCUUCACACGUCAUACAAUGGUGCAUACAGAGGGUUGCCAAGCCGCGAGGUGGAGCUAAUCCCAGAAAAUGCAUCGUAGUCCGGAUCGUAGUCUGCAACUCGACUACGUGAAGCUGGAAUCGCUAGUAAUCGCGGAUCAGCAUGCCGCGGUGAAUACGUUCCCGGGUCUUGUACACACCGCCCGUCACACCAUGGGAGUGGGCUUUACCAGAAGUAGUUAGCCUAACCGCAAGGAGGGCGAUUACCACGGUAGGGUUCAUGACUGGGGUGAAGUCGUAACAAGGUAACC